GCACUGGUGUGAAUUGACCGAAGUGGCUAAAAAGGAAGGAGGUGCCUCCAUGUGCUCUGCUGGUGUGGUUUCCUUGCAUACUGGUACUCCUCUGCAGCUUGGAAUAACAGUAGGCAUACUAUGAAGCAAACAAGUAACCUAUUCUGAUUACACUCCAUGACUGCCAAAGACUCUGAAGAUUAUCAUAGUUUUGUGGAGUACUGUCAUGAUUUGUUGUCUUUCACCACCAGUUCAGUGACGUUUUGGCUUUACUCCCAGAAACCAACAAAUGACUGAGAGGA